CCUACGGGAGACAGCAGUGGGGAAUAUUCCACAAUGGGGGAAACCCUGACGGAGCGACGCCGCGUGAGUGAGGAAGUAUUUCGGUAUGUAAAGCUCUAUCAGCAGGGAAGAAAAUGACGGUACCUGACUAAGAAGCUCCGGCUAACUACGUGCCAGCAGCCGCGGUAUUACGUAGGGAGCAAGCGUUCUGCGGAUUUACUGGGUGAAAAGGGCGUGUAGGCGGGCAUGCAAGCCAGAAGUGAAAUCUGGGGGCUUAACCCCCAAACUGCUUUUGGAACUGCGUGUCUUGAGUGAUGGAGGGGCAGGGGGAAUUCCCGGUGUAGCGGUGAAAGGCGUAGAUAUUGGGAGGAACAC
rnacentral:rRNA from 1 species